AUGACAUCCUGGAAUGACGAGGAGAGCUCGGACGAGGACAUCUGCAUGGUUUCAAUGGACCCUCAGCUCUUUGAAACCCCUGACAGUGUGGUGGAUCCAUCUUUCUGUGGUUCUUACACUGAAUCUUUGCUGACGUGCAUGAUGCAUCAUCAGAGGCCGAAGAAGAUGGUAGCUUUUGAAGGUGCUUUGACAGGGAGGCGAUUCAUGGGUUGUCAUGUGAACCAGAACUUAGGUAGGGUGAAGGACAAACAAGCUCAUGAGAAAGAGGUGGGAAAGUUAAAGAAGGAAAUUGAGUUCCUAUCAAACAAUUACAGCCAGUUGGUGGAAGAUGUGUCCAAGCUUUUUGACUAUCAAGAUGGCAAGAUGUCUCAUGACAUGGACUAUACCAGUCAGGCAAUCAAUGAACUAAAUGAGAAGAAGAAGCAACUUGAGGAUCAGGCAAAGAUUGAGUUAAGUGUGGAAAAGCUGAAGCUUGCCAAAGAGCAAAGGUGCAUUCUUAAAAGCCAAGCAGAUAUCAUUCAGAACAUGAGGAAGGCCAUGAAGGAAAUGAAGGGGGAUAGGGAUCUACUUAAGCAAGAGAAGAAGAAGCUGGAGUAUCUUAUUGCUGAUCCGCUCAAUGCUAGGCAUGCCAGCAAAGAUAAGCUGGAGAGGAUCAAGGCAAUAAUGAAUGAGUGA
rnacentral:rRNA from 1 species